GACGAACGCUGGCGGCGUGCUUAACACAUGCAAGUCGAGCGGUAAGGCCCUUUCGGGGGUACACGAGCGGCGAACGGGUGAGUAACACGUGGGUGACCUGCCCUCAGCUCUGGGAUAAGCCUGGGAAACCGGGUCUAAUACUGGAUAUGACUCCAUGACGCAUGUUGUGGGGUGGAAAGCCUUGUGCGGCUGAGGAUGGG
rnacentral:rRNA from 1 species